AGAAUCAACGCUGGCGGCGUGCCUAACACAUGCAAGUCGAACGAGAAAGGGGUAGCAAUACCCUGAGUAAAGUGGCGCACGGGUGAGUAACACGUGACUAACCUACCCUUGAGUGGGGGAUAACUGAGGGAAACCUUAGCUAAUACCGCAUAAUACCCACGGGUCAAAGGAGCAAUUCGCUCGAGGAGGGGGUCGCGGCCGAUUAGUUAGUUGGCGGGGUAAUGGCCCACCAAGACGAUGAUCGGUAUCC
rnacentral:rRNA from 1 species